rnacentral:snRNA from 1 species
GAACUUACCUGGCGCCGAGUUCAGAGUGAUCAGCGAGGCUCUGACCCCAGGUGGGCGCUCGGCAUUGCACUCCGCUGUGUUGAAGCCUACGACGCUGCGACGAACUCUAAUCGGGUUCGCCCGAGUGCAUAGUUUUUGCCAGUGGGGAGCCUUCGGACAUCCAUU